rnacentral:rRNA from 1 species
UUUUAACGCGAAGGAACCUUACCAGGUCUUGACAUCNUUCUGACAGUCUAAGAGAUUAGAGGUUCCCUUUCGGGGACAGCAAUGCACAGGGUGGGUGCAUGGGUUGUUCGUCAGCUCGCUGUCGCUGAGAUGUUGGGUUAAGAUCCCGCAACGAGCGCAACCCUUAUUACUAGUUGCCAGCAUUAAGUUGGGCACUCUAGUGAGACUGCCGGUGACAAACCGGAGGAAGGUGGGGACGACGUCAAAUCAUCAUGCCCCUUAUGACCUGGGCUACACACGUGCUACAAUGGAUGGUACAACGAGUCGCGAGACCGCGAGGUUAAGCUAAUCUCUUAAAACCAUUCUCAGUUCGGACUGUAGGCUGCAACUCGCCUACACGAAGUCGGAAUCGCUAGUAAUCGCGGAUCAGCAUGCCGCNCGGUGAAUACGUUCCCGGGUCUUGUACACACGCAAAA